CUGACAUGUGUGCGAGUCAACGGCGAGUAAACCCGUAAGACGUAAGGAAGCGGAUUGGUGGGAUCCACCUGAGGGGUACACCACCGACCGACCUUGAUCUUCUGUGAAGGAUUCGAGUGUGAGCAUACCUGUCGG
rnacentral:rRNA from 1 species